rnacentral:rRNA from 1 species
UACGUAGGGUGCAAGCGUUGUCCGGAAUUAUUGGGCGUAAAGAGCUCGUAGGCGGUCUGUCGCGUCGAAUGUGAAAACCCGGGGCUCAACUCCGGGCCUGCAUUCGAUACGGGCAGACUAGAGUUCGGUAGGGGAGACUGGAAUUCCUGGUGUAGCGGUGAAAUGCGCAGAUAUCAGGAGGAACACCGGUGGCGAAGGCGGAUCUCUGGGCCAUUACUGACGCUGAGGAGCGAAAGCGUGGGGAGCGAACAGG